ACGGCUCAGUAACACGUGGACAACCUACCCUGAGGUCGGGGAUAAACCCGGGAAACUGGGUAUAAUACCCGAUAGAUCUAGAUUGCUGGAAUGCUUUUAGGUCUAAAGUUCCGACGCCUCAGGAUGGGUCUGCGGCCUAUCAGGGUAGUAGUGGGUGUAAAGUACCUACUAGCCUACGACGGGUACGGGUUGUGAGAGCAAGAGCCCGGAGAUGGAUUCUGAGACACGAAUCCAGGCCCUACGGGGUGCAGCAGGCGCGAAACCUUUACAAUGCUGGCAACAGCGAUAAGGGGACCUCGAAUGCUACGAUACAAUCGUGGCUGUCUAGUUGCCUAAAAAGCAAUUGAUAGCAAGGGCCGGGCAAGACCGGUGCCAGCCGCCGCGGUAACACCGGCGGCUCGAGUGGUAACCGCUAUUAUUGGGUCUAAAGGGUCUGUAGCCGGCUUAGUUAGUCUCUUGAGAAAUCUGGCCGCUCAACGGUCAGGCGUUCAGGGGAUACUGCUAAAGCUCGAGACCGGGAGAGGUGAGAGGUACUUCAGGGGUAGGGGUGAAAUCUUGUAAUCCUUGAAGGACCACCAGUGGCGAAGGCGUCUCACCAGAACGGAUCUGACGGCAAGGGACGAAAGCUAGGGGCACGAACCGGAUUAGAUACCCGGGUAGUCCUAGCCGUAAACGAUACUCGCUAGGUGUCGGCCACGGUGCGACCGUGGUCGGUGCCGUAGGGAAGCCGUGAAGCGAGCCACCUGGGAAGUACGGCCGCAAGGCUGAAACUUAAAGGAAUUGGCGGGGGAGCAC
rnacentral:rRNA from 1 species